AGUGUGUCCCCGAGAAAGUGUCAGAGCCUUUACGUGGACCUUCUCAUGAAAAAGGAAACAGAAUAGUCAAUGGAAAAGGAAAAGGGCCUCCUGCAAAACAUCCUUCCUUGAAGCCUAGCACUGAAGUGGAAGAUCCUGCUGUGAAAGGAGCAGUACAAAGAAAGAAUGUACAGACAUUGAGAGCAGAACAAACCUUACCAGUGGCUUUAGAGGAAGAGCAAGAAAGGUGUGAAAGAAGUGAAAAGAAGCAAUCACAGCUAAUUUUAAAACAUGCACUCUGACAGAAAAGACAUCUGAGAAACAAAACAAGCAAAUUUGUUUUCCAUUUUGCACCUG
rnacentral:lncRNA from 1 species